GACGAACGCUGGCGGCGUGCUUAACACAUGCAAGUCGAACGGAAAGGCCCUGCUUUUGUGGGGUGCUCGAGUGGCGAACGGGCGAGUAACACGUGAGUAACCUGCCCUUGACUUUGUGAUAACUUCAGGAAACUGGGGCUAAUACCGGAUAGGAGCUCCUGCUGCAUGGUGGGGGUUGGAAAGUUUCGGCGGUUGGGGAUGGACUCGCGGCUUAUCAGCUUGUUGGUGGGGUAGUGGCUUACCAAGGCUUUGACGGGUAGCCGGCCUGGGAGGGUGACCGGCCACAUUGGGACUGAGAUACGGCCCAGACUCCUACGGGAGGCAGCAGUGGGGAAUAUUGCACAAUGGGCGGAAGCCUGAUGCAGCAACGUCGCGUGCGGGAUGACGGCCUUCGGGUUGUAAACCGCUUUCGCCUGUGACGAAGCGUGAGUGACGGUAAUGGGUAAAGAAGCACCGGCUAACUACGUG
rnacentral:rRNA from 1 species